rnacentral:rRNA from 1 species
UACAUGGGGUGCAAACGUUGCUCGGAAUUAUUGGGCGUAAAGCGCACGUAGGCGGUCCGUUAAGUCAGAUGUGAAAGCCCCCGGCUCAACCGGGGAAGUGCGUCUGAAACUGGCGGGCUAGAGUACGAAAGAGGGUCGCGGAAUUCCCGGUGUAGAGGUGAAAUUCGUAGAUAUCGGGAGGAACACCGGUGGCGAAGGCGGCGACCUGGGUCGAUACUGACGCUGAGGUGCGAAAGCGUGGGGAGCAAACAGG